rnacentral:rRNA from 1 species
GACAGAGGGUGCAAACGUUGUUCGGAAUUACUGGGCGUAAAGCGCGUGUAGGCGGCCAUCUAAGUCGGGCGUGAAAUCCCACGGCUCAACCGUGGAAGUGCACUCGAAACUGGAUGGCUAGAGUCCUGGAGAGGAAGGUGGAAUGCUUGGUGUAGAGGUGAAAUUCGUAGAUAUCAAGCGGAACACCGGUGGCGAAGGCGGCCUUCUGGACAGUGACGUGACGCUGAGACGCGAAAGCGUGGGAGCAAACGGG